rnacentral:rRNA from 1 species
UACGAAGGGGGCUAGCGUUGCUCGGAAUCACUGGGCGUAAAGGGUGCGUAGGCGGGUCUUUAAGUCAGGGGUGAAAUCCUGGAGCUCAACUCCAGAACUGCCUUUGAUACUGAGGAUCUUGAGUUCGGGAGAGGUGAGUGGAACUGCGAGUGUAGAGGUAGAAUUGAUAGAUAUUCGCAAGAACACCAGUGGCGAAGGCGGCUCACUGGCCCGAUACUGACGCUGAGGCACGAAAGCGUGGGGAGCCAAACAGG